ACCCACGACUGAAACGCAAAUCAUUUCACUGCGUUCCAAACGCCGGAAGUGUGGUGUCGGAAGUACCAUAUUCAAACUUCGCGUUCAGUCCUGGGAACAGCAGUAGCAGCGGAUUCAUACGGUUCUAUCGCAGCCUGGGGCAGCUGAAAUGUCAGUCUCCGGGGUUUUAGCAGCGUGACCCAGGGGACAUGGCUCUAAGUUUCCAAAACCUAUUUUCUUCAGAAAAUGAUGAUUUUGAUGAUGAGGACUUUCUGUUGGCGUUGGACAAUACGGAGGAGAGCGUCUUUCACGCAGCGCCUUCAGGAACGAGAUCUCUCAGGCCCAUAUGUACAGAUGAACCAAAAAGCCAGGCUCCUCCUCCCUGGCACACAAUGUGGAAUCAAGAAGAGAUGGGGAAGCAGGACCCAAUGGGGAUGCCGUAUGAUCUUGCCCAGGACAUGGAUGAUGAAGAGCUGUUAUCUGUCUGCAGCAUGAUAGAGGUCCCACAGAGACCCUCCGAGGCACAAAAAGCUGGUCAGUCUGUGAGUGUUCCAAUGCAGGAUGGAACUAGUAGGAAGAACUCCUCAUCUGUCAGACUGCGCCCAACUGGAGAAGCUUGUGUUGGGUUCCAGGCGCCUAAUCCCAGAGCCAGUUUUAAGGUUACUGCAGUGUGCCAGCCAGGCAGUGUUUGUGCCGAUUCUCCAUCUCCCCUGCAGAUACAUUCAAUAGAGACUGAGCACUUUCAGAGUCCACGCCCCACUGCCAAGAGGCCUUGUAGAAGGGACAUGAUAGACCCUCAAUCUGUAGAGGCUCAAAAUCACCGUAGCCCUUCUGUUCAGCUGCUGCCUCAUCAAGUGAGAACACCUAGCACUGUACAAGGAGCGGGAGCUCUUUGCACCGAACUAGCCCCAUUCCCAGCGCCCACUCAACUCCUCUCCCACGUCCGCUCAUUCCCAAUUCCUUCCAGACCCCGAUGCUAACCAACCAUUUAGUGCAGCUGGUGACUGCAGCCAAUCAGACGCCAAGGAGACGGCUAUGGGAGACGCCGCCACCAAAAGAGAGGAGGUUCCCUGGACCAGCUGGCUUAUUGCCGCAGCAGGGUAAUGCCAGGGGGCUGGAUGAGAUUCUUGUAUCGACUCCUCAUACUCCAGCUCAUGGGGCAAGAGCCAAGCUUGGCACUAAGGCAAGCAUGGCUUCUCAGCAGCAAACUGAAGAGGAGUUUGGCAGAGGUCCGUGGGCAGCCUUGAAAGCUGAGUUGGCAUUGGAUGAGAAUGAUCCCUGCUGCUUCCUAAGGACAUACAGUGUAGUGAUGGUGCUGCGUAAGGCGGCUCUGAAGCAGCUCCCAAAAAACAAGGUCCCACAAAUGGCCGUGGCUCUCAAAUCCCUUACUCCAGCCAAUGGCGAUGCUAGUGCCGUAUUCAGAGACCACACAGGUGAUAUUCAGGGCACUGUCCACCACCUAUUACUGGAGGAGAAAGAAAGUGACCUGAAGGUCGGCAGUGUCCUUUUAUUACAACAGGUCGGAGUCUUCUCCCCAUCUCAUCGCAACCACUAUCUCAAUGUGACCCCUAACAACCUGGUGAAAAUCUACCCCCCGGAGGAGGAAGGCCCCCAUACAUCGAUAGAAGCUCCACCAGGGUCAAGUGAGCAGACUGAUUUGAACAGUAAUCAUGUUGGGACCCCAGCUUGUCCAUCAGUCUCUAUAAGAACAGCUGGAGACCCACAGCCAUUAUCACUUGAAGAAUGGGAUAUGGAUGACCUGGAUUCUCUCCUCUGUGACCUUCCCGAGGAUACUGGGACUGAAUCCACUCUAACAUGACCUGCCCUUUAGUGUGAUCACCCCAUUAGCAGGAUGGAGCACUCCCGAAAUGAAUGUUGCUCUCCUGGUAUCUGGGGCCUAUUUGUGGAUCUCACAUAACUCCUAUAGAUCCACUAGAGAAUGUGUCUUAACAUAUAAACACUAAGCUCUGGCUGAGCAGAUUUGCUUUAUUAUAAUGCCCGUACUGCAGUGUUACUUACUGUAUAGGAUAUCCCAUCAGGCACUGCAGGUGUUCAUUAGAAAGAAAAAUGUAAAUAUAGUAAAGGGCUUGAAACUGUACAGCGGAAGUUAUACUGUUAUGUGAAUGACAACUACAAGGGGCCCCUGUCUGGUGGUGUGUGCCGACCCCUGUAAAAGGUUAUCAUGGAAAAAACUUAAAACUGCUAUUUAAAAGCAGAACUCUUAACUAGACUGAAUAACAUGCUUUUGUAUAACUGACUGUGUAUAUUUCUGUUUCUGUAUAUUGAAGUUCAUAAAAAUAAAUAAGUUUCCUUGA